rnacentral:rRNA from 1 species
CUACCCUUGACAUGCCACUAACGAAGCAGAGAUGCAUCAGGUGCCCGAAAGGGAAAGUGGACACAGGUGCUGCAUGGCUGUCGUCAGCUCGCGUCGUGAGAUGUUGGGUUAAGUCCCGCAACGAGCGCAACCCUUGUCUUUAGUUGCUACGCAAGAGCACUCUAGAGAGACUGCCGGUGACAAACCGGAGGAAGGUGGGGAUGACGUCAAGUCCUCAUGGCCCUUAUGGGUAGGGCUUCACACGUCAUACAAUGGUGCGUACAGAGGGUUGCCAACCCGCGAGGGGGAGCUAAUCCCAGAAAACGCAUCGUAGUCCGGAUCGUAGUCUGCAACUCGACUACGUGAAGCUGGAAUCGCUAGUAAUCGCGGAUCAGCAUGCCGCGGUGAAUACGUUCC